GACGAACGCUGGCGGCGUGCUUAACACAUGCAAGUCGAACGGAAAGGCCCCUUUGGGGGUACUCGAGUGGCGAACGGGUGAGUAACACGUGAGUAACCUGCCCUUGACUUCGGGAUAACUUCAGGAAACUGGGGCUAAUACCGGAUAGGAAUCCUUGCUGCAUGGUGGGGGUUGGAAAGCUUCGUCGGUUUUGGAUGGACUCGCGGCUUAUCAGCUUGUUGGUGGGGUAGUGGCUUACCAAGGCUUUGACGGGUAGCCGGCCUGAGAGGGCGACCGGCCACAUUGGGACUGAGAUACGGCCCAGACUCCUACGGGAGGCAGCAGUGGGGAAGAUUGAACAAUGGGCGGAAGCCUGAUGCAGCAACGCCGCGUGCGGGAUGACGGCCUUCGGGUUGUAAACCGCUUUCAGCAGGGGCGAAGCUUGUGGUGACGGUACCUGCAGAAGAAGCACCGGCUAACUACGUG
rnacentral:rRNA from 1 species